UUAGAGUAGAAUUUAAGGUUUAACCUGCCCACUGAUUAAUUAAAUGGCUGCAGUAAUUUGACUGUACAAAGGUAGCAUAAUCAUUAGUUUUUUAAUUAAAAGCUUGUAUGAAUGGUUGGACGAAAUAAAUACUGUCUUUAGAUAAUAAGUAGAAUUUAAUUUUUAAGUUAAAAAGCUUAAAUAAUUAUAAAAGACGAGAAGACCCUAUAGAUCUUUAUAAUAUUUAAUAUAUAUUUAAUUAAGAUUAUUUUAUUGUUUAUAUAAAAUAUUAUUUUAUUGGGGUAAUAAAAAGAUUAAAUUAAUUCUUUUAAGUUUAUAUAUAGAUUAAUAAAUUUUUGAUCCUUUAUUAAAGAUUUUAAGAUUAAGUUACCUUAGGGAUAACAGCGUAAUUUUUUUAAAGAGUUCAUAUCGAUAAAAAAGUUUGCGACCUCGAUGUUGGAUUAAAAAUUAUUCUAGGUGUAGUAGUUUAGAAUUUUGGUCUGUUCGACCAUUAAAUUUUUACAUGAUCUGAGUUCAGACCGGUGUAAGCCAGGUCGGUUUCUAUCUUUAUUAGAUUAAUAUAUUUUAGUACGAAAGGACCAAAUAUUAAAUAUAUGAAUAUUUUUAUUUUUGAAUUAUAA
rnacentral:rRNA from 1 species